AACGAACGCUGGCGGCAUGCCUAACACAUGCAAGUCGAACGAGACCUUCGGGUCUAGUGGCGCACGGGUGCGUAACGCGUGGGAACCUGCCCUUAGGUUCGGAAUAACUCCCCGAAAGGGGUGCUAAUACCGGAUAAUGUCUUCGGACCAAAGAUUUGUCGCCUUUGGAUGGGCCCGCGUUGGAUUAGCUAGUUGGUAGGGUAAAAGCCUACCAAGGCGACGAUCCAUAGCUGGUCUGAGAGGAUGAUCAGCCACACUGGGACUGAGACACGGCCCAGACUCCUACGGGAGGCAGCAGUGGGGAAUAUUGGACGAUGGGCGAAAGCCUGAUCCAGCAAUGCCGCGUGAGUGAUGAAGGCCCUAGGGUUGUAAAGCUCUUUUACCCGGGAUGAUAAUGACAGUACCGGGAGAAUAAGCUCCGGCUAACUCCGUG
rnacentral:rRNA from 1 species